CUCUAACCCCGAUAGGAGCGGCAUCCUUGCUGGGCGGGGUUCGCCCAGCAAGAUAUAGCGGAUAGCGGGACUUUGC
rnacentral:sRNA from 2 species